AUACUCUAUAGUGAACUCAUUAUUUCUUACUUGCAGUUGAAGUGGUGUGCUUGGGUUGCGCUAUACUGCUCCUGCAUCAGCUUUGCCAACUCGAGAGUCAAUGACGAUACGAAACAAAUGCUCAGCAGCUUCAUGUUGUCCAUUUCUGCAGUUGUGAUGUCCUACCUUCAAAACCCACAGCCAAUGACACCUCCAUGGUCCAAUAUAUAAACAGUUCUAUAUUAUCGAUUGUUUUUGGUUGAAUGGAAAUGUAUAAUUGCCUCACCAUACUUGUAUUAAAAUUGUACUGCUGAAUGACAGUGACAAUUUUAGUUUUAAUAAACUAGCUAAUGGUGCCAGGUUUGUAUUAUGAUGUGCAAUAUGGAACAGUGCCAACAUUUGAUGAUGUGCAUGAGUUACAAAAUGGCUUGGUUUGUUAAUCUUUUAAUUUGUGUAGCCUGCACUAUAUAAUUCUUGUGUUAUACUUCCCAUCCAAAAGUUUCUUGUAAGCAGCUUGUCUUUUUUUUCCUUUAACAAAUGGACAAAUUUGUAUUGUCCCAUAACAUUAUCAUGUCAUUCAUGCCAGUGUAAAAGGCAAUAGCAUGAAGGUCAAAGCUUGAAAUAUCCUGGAAUAUGAAGUACCAUACGAGUUGAUCCUCGAGUGACAACCACAUUAGUACAGUAGAUAGCCUCCAUAUUAGACAUAAAAGGAAGACUUGAUCACCACGUUAGAAAUAGAAGAGUGAAAGGGAAUUGGGAGUGGAAUGGUAGGCAGUCAGUAUGGGGGAAGGGAGACUUUUGGAGUACAGUACAGUACUGUCCAUUCAGUAGAGCCAGGCUGUCACCUGAUCGGAUGACAGGCAAAGUUAUGUCACUAGCACUGAUUUUAUAGUUUUCUUCGAGGUGACAUCAACUGCAUAAUAUCUUUUUGAUCAUGAAAUUACAUUAACUCCAACCAGUUACUGCUGGCUAAUAAUUCUUAGACAUAAAGGAAAGAGGACAAAUCAGAAGAGCAUGUUAAGAUAGGGCUACCUGAAUAGGUUUCAGUUGUGGUUACUCCAUCAGAGGGGCGUUCAUGGGGAUAGACAGAUUCUACAGUAAAUUGUUAAUUCCUCUUUUAGGACUGCCUCCUCUUCCAUUUUGCUUAGUUAUGCAAAGUUGUUGUUUUAUGGUUACAAAGGAAACAUAUCAUUCCUUAAUUUCUUAUUUUGACUGUAUCAGAAUUUAGAAUUUCUAAAAUAUAGUUACAGGUUGUAAGUACAGUAUGUAUAACAGUUUAUACAGUACUAUACUUAGUGUAUAAAAUAUAUAUUAAUGCAGGCCAUAUGUAUUAUUGUUAAAUAUGUACUUUUGUAUUUCAUAGUAAACCUUUUACCAUAA